rnacentral:rRNA from 1 species
GACGAACCGGACAAACGUUAUUCGGAAUUACUGGGCUUAAAGGGUGCGUAGGCGGCGUGGAAAGUGGGGUGUGAAAUCCCUCGGCUUAACCGAGGAACGGCGCUCCAAACUCCCACGCUGGAGGGAGACAGAGGUGAGCGGAACUGAGGGUGGAGCGGUGAAAUGCGUUGAUAUCCUCAGGAACACCGGUGGCGAAGGCGGCUCACUAGGUCUCUUCUGACGCUGAGGCACGAAAGCUAGGGGAGCGAACGGG